AUAUUUUCGGCCCUCUCCGAAAAGGGCCUUCGUCGUCGUCGUGGUUGUUGUCGUCGUCGUACCUAAUGGCAACGUUGGAAAGCAAAGUACUUCGAGCUGCGGAUGAAUGGACGGGAACUCCGUUUGACGCUUUCUGAAUGAAUUUUAAAUAGUUUUGCAUAUUUAAACUAUUUUAUCGUGCUGGCGGUACCUCUAGCAGCUUUCGGGCAACCAACAGUAUGCCAUUUCCAUAGUGGCCUUGCAAAAACAAAAUAAGUGAUAUCCAGUUGUUUGCUAACCUCCAUACCCGGCGUCGACAAUAAGUACGUUGUUGAAAUUACCAAAAUCGGCUAGAAUUGGUAAUAAUGCACAUACCUAAGAGGAACAGGAAUUCUAUUCGUAUAAAUUAUACAGAUAUAGUUUAUAAAGUCAGGUAUUUGUGUAUAAUAUCCUUUUCAUUGGCAACCACCCACUAAAAAUACAUUUGCACAUGCACUUACCUGUUGUUUUACAUAUAUAAGAACUAGUUUCCUUAUUUUGCAUUUCCAUUAAUGUCAAAAUAUGAAUGGAAAUAAACUACCGAGAUAGGACCAGGUAGAACAAAAUAGUCGGUUUCCUCGACUAUCAUAUACCUAUUUGGCACAUUAAUAGAAAUAAUAAUAGAAAAAUAAUAGAAAUAAGAACGGUUAACGGAACAAGUACCGGGUAUAAAACAAGAGAGAAUGUUGUAGUAGAUGCAAACGAAAAGUUUAAUAAUUUUUCUGGGAAAUCGAUAGAUAUUGGGGAAUAAAAUGAGAACAAAAUUUAAAAAUUGUUUAAAAGUUUAGGCGUGAGAAUUUUUGGAGGUUUGAACGCAUUAGAAGAGAGGUGGCCAAAGUGUUUUUGGUAUUCCGGUAGAAGAUAGAUUGGCAAGACAAACAAUAAAACGAAGAAAAUCGGAACAUUUCCCAGUUUGUUGGCGUUAAAGUGGGCAACAUGGGUCAACAAACUUACACUGCGUCUAUCUAAAAUCUGUAUGCAAAAUACCCACUUUUAAGCUUUUAUAGUUCUAGAAAUCUCGAUGGUCAUUCGCACUUACAAACGGAAAUUUUCAGAUCGAGUAGUAUUAAUAAAUAUGGUUACAUACUUUUCAACGAGUCUAGGUCACCAUUGCAAGAAAGCACGUAGUAACGAAUGCACCAGGAGAGUAUGCGAAGGCGACAACUAUAUACUCGUAUGUACUCAAGUAAAUGAAAUGAAAAUGAAAAUAAAUCUGUGGUCCAUACGGGCCAAAGGCAGUAAUUGAGCGGGAUGAAUUUUAAGAUUUCCCAUUGAAGUCGUCAAGUGCCAAAUUAAAAUUCAAUGGGUUGCGCUUCAUUAUCCCAAAUGGAUGCGAAAACAAAUGCGGGCGUUAUUUGUUAUUAUUUCCCUAAUUCCGGAUGUUAAACGCCUAUACAAGGAACCAUCGCUGCCAUCCCCAAUUUUUAAAUUCAAAGCUCUUUUAAAGCAAUUAAACUGGAAACAAUGUCCCCCAUACAAUUUGGUCGAAGUUGACCGCAGAUUAGGUAUUUAAAUCUCUUUUUUUUACUCCCGCCUUCUCCAGAACUGUCAGCAUAAUUAUCCGUUUAACGCUUUCGCCACUAUUAGCAGAACGACAACAUAAUUAAUUAAUUUUUUUUGAAUAAAGAUGCAAUGGUGCCAUGUUCCUCUUAAGCUUCAUUCCAGGCAUCUGAUUUUUUUAACUUCUUCAUUAAAGUGGUACCUAAUUCGAAAAGAAUGCCUGUUUAAUAUUCUUGGAAAAUGCGUCAUUUCGCAUUAUGUGGUUUUCCAAAAUGAGCCUGACAUUUGAAAUGAUUUCUGCAGCCCAUGACAGAAGAGCUUUCAUUUAAUUUAACAAUAAUUUGAUAAGUGCUUCUACGCAAAUGAGUUUGUAACAAAUAAUACAGUUGAUGCGCACCACUGACUUACCAAUUAUAAAAAGUAAUGUCAUAGCAUUUUAGUAGACGGGCGAGCGAUCUAGGUAGAGUCAGUUUAGGGAAUUAAAUUAAUGAAAAUGGCAUUUUGUUCAAAAAUAUUACGUUAAAAAAUAUUUCUAGGUGGUUUGAGAUCAAAACCAAUUCUCUAAAAGAAAGAAACUUUCAAUAUCGUUCUAUUAGGCAUUAAUAAACAAUAUAUUUAAUAAUAAGUAGAAUAGUAAUGUAUGUACAUAUUUUUUGAGAACUUACUGUUGAUUUCAGCUAAUUCAAAAGCAAUGCUCAAUAUAAACAAUUUAACUGCAGAAUAGGAACCAAAAAUGUCUACCCAGUCAAAAUCUCGGAACAAGGGCAGAUUCAAGUUUGAAUCUCUAAAUUGGCACGGUCUUUUGAAAUAUGUUUUAUUACUUGGGAGCCAAAAUAGCUUGAAUAGAUUAAUUGGAAGCAAAUAUUUCUAUAUGUAAACACUUACGUGUCUCAAUGCUAUCAAUUGCGUUAGCCUCAUGGAAAACCGGGGGUGAAUGGAUUUGGUGUACAUAUAAUGAAUUCUUAUUCGCAAAAAGAGAAUUAGCAGCCAGCACAAAUAAUAUGUUGAUGCAUGUAUUUCGAAUUGGCUGCUUGGGAGUAGUAAGUGUCGCAGAACGCGUAGAGUACUCCUCGUAAUUACGCUCUCCAGUUAAUCAAUGGUUACUUUGUGGUUUUUAUGACCACUUUGGCAUAGGGGAGGGGAUAAUGUGUCUUAUGCUUUAGCCAAAUCUAAUUAUACGUCAAUGACACUGCAUAUUGAAGAAGUCAGUACAGUCACCAUUGACCUAUUAUGGUUUUCUUUUUGGAUUCGAUGAAUAUAAAUUACACAUUUAUGGAAAUCGAUAUUUGUUCGAAUUCAAAUACUUUAUACAUAUUUUGAUGAUUUAGAUAAUGUCGUCACAAACUGAACGCUUGAUAAUUUGACUGGGCUUUAUGAAAGUGGAUGAUAAACAAUUGACAAAGCUGGCUUCGACACAUACAUAUGAAAAAACUGAUGAGUACCGAACACUUUUUGAUCACAAACAAAGAAAAUAUGAUUUCUAUUUUAAUAUUUGCAAUGAAUUUGCUUUAUGAUAUAAUCUAUCUAUUUAAUAUUAUCUAUC